AGCAGCCGCGGUAAUUCCAGCUCCAAUAGCGUAUAUUAAAGUUGUUGCAGUUAAAAGCUCGUAGUUGAAUUUCGGGGUCAGUAGGUUGGUCGUGCCACCGGUACGUACUGGUCUCACCGAUUCCUCCUUCCUGAAGAACCGUAAUGCCAUUAAUUUGGUGUUGCGGGGAAACAGGACUGUUACUUUGAAAAAUUAGAGUGUUUAAAGCAGGCUAACGCUUGAAUACAUUAGCAUGGAAUAAUGAAAUAGGACGAUCGAUCCUAUUUUGUUGGUUUCUAGGAUUGACGUAAUGAUUAAUAGGGAUAGUUGGGGGCAUUAGUAUUCAAUUGUCAGAGGUGAAAUUCUUGGAUUUAUUGAAGACUAACUACUGCGAAAGCAUUUGCCAAGGAUGUUUUCAUUAAUCAAGAACGAAAGUUAGGGAUCGAAGACGAUCAGAUACCGUCGUAGUCUUAACCAUAAACUAUGCCGACUAGGGAUCGGAUGAUGUUAAUUUUAUAAUGACUCAUUCGGCGCCUUACGG
rnacentral:misc_RNA from 1 species